rnacentral:lncRNA from 1 species
UUCCUCUCUCAUUAGUCAUUAGCCCUCUGGCCGUCUGCUUAACCCCCGAAGGUUCUUCUUUUUUAUUAUAUGUUUGUAUGCGACAGAGGAAGGCCCACACACGAGUCACUCCCUUGGCAAACAAGCAUAAAAGAGAGGCAAGGCAAAGCAACGCGCAGAAAAAAGGAACCCCACUCCCCUACUCGUAUUGCUCCUCGAUCGCAUCAAAAGUUUCGGUCUCCCCAAAAGAAAGGCACCACCGCCCACCCCCUACCCCAUCCCCUCAUUGAAAAGAAUGCGGUCACCACCCACCGUAGAUUCCACCCUCCCAUCCCUCCUCUCUAAGUUAAGCUCUCUCUUAGCUAAAUUCCAACCCCAAGAUCCUCCCCUUUCUCCCUUCUCCUUUUAAACUCCUCCUCGCCCACCUCCUCUCCUCCCUUUCCGGCCUCCACCUUCUAACUACCAUACUCCUUUGUCUCUUUAUGCAUCUCUUAUCAAUCUCUCUGCGUGUAGGACGGUAUGUCAUCUGAAAUAGAUCUAUCGUACCAGCAGAAGAUCUAGAACAAAUAUCGAACGU